GAUUACGGCCAUAACACAAUCACAAUGCCCAAUCUCGUCUGAUCUCGAAAGCUAAGCAGAGUUGGGCUGGGUCAGUACUUGGAUGGGUGACCGCCUGGGAAUACCCGGUGCUGUAAGCA
rnacentral:rRNA from 1 species